rnacentral:rRNA from 1 species
CCUACGGGAGGCAGCAGUGAGGAAUAUUGGACAAUGGGCGCAAGCCUGAUCCAGCCAUGCCGCGUGCAGGAAGACGGUCCUAUGGAUUGUAAACUGCUUUUGUACGGGAAGAAACACUCCUUCGUGAAGGAGCUUGACGGUACCGUAAGAAUAAGGAUCGGCUAACUCCGUGCCAGCAGCCGCGGUAAUACGGAGGAUCCAAGCGUUAUCCGGAAUCAUUGGGUUUAAAGGGUCCGUAGGCGGUUUAGUAAGUCAGUGGUGAAAGCCCAUCGCUCAACGGUGGAACGGCCAUUGAUACUGCUAGACUUGAAUUAUUAGGAAGUAACUAGAAUAUGUAGUGUAGCGGUGAAAUGCUUAGAGAUUACAUGGAAUACCAAUUGCGAAGGCAGGUUACUACUAAUGGAUUGACGCUGAUGGACGAAAGCGUGGGUAGCGAACAGGAUUAGAUACCCUGGUAGUCCACGCCGUAAACGAUGGAUACUAGCUGUUGGGGGCAACUUCAGUGGCUAAGCGAAAGUGAUAAGUAUCCACCUGGGGAGUACGUUCGCAAGAANAGAACACGAAGAAGUAGACGACGNGAGACGNGCGACGGACGACGACGAGGGAGGAGG